ensembl:misc_RNA Metazoa_SRP Metazoan signal recognition particle RNA
GCCAGGCGUGGUGGCGAGCGCCUGUAGUCCCAGCUACUUGGGAGGCUGAGGCAGGAGAAUGGCAUGAACCCAGGAGGCGGAGGUUGCAGUGAGCUGAGAUUGCGCCACUGCACUCCAGCCUGGGUGACAGUGCAAGACUCUGUCUCAA